rnacentral:rRNA from 1 species
GACGAACGCUGGCGGCGUGCUUAACACAUGCAAGUCGAGCGGUAAGGCCCUUUCGGGGGUACACGAGCGGCGAACGGGUGAGUAACACGUGGGUGACCUGCCCUCAGCUCUGGGAUAAGCCUGGGAAACUGGGUCUAAUACUGGAUAUGACUCCACGGUGCAUGUCGUGGGGUGAAAGUCUUGUGCGGCUGAGGAUGGGCCCGCGGCCUAUCAGCUUGUUGGUGGGGUGAGGCCUACCAAGGCGACGACGGGUAGCCGGCCUGAGAGGGCGACCGGGCCACACUGGGACUGAGACACGGCCCAGACUCCUACGGGAGGCAGCAGUGGGGAAUCUUGCGCAAUGGGCGAAAGCCCUGACGCAGCGACGCCGCGUGAGGGAUGACGGG